rnacentral:lncRNA from 1 species
AUAUAUAGAAAUUUAAAAAAAAUGAAAAAAAACAUAGGUAUAUAGUAUAUAGGUAGACGUGAAAUGCAAAAUAUAUUAUGUGAAAACUAUACGUAUAAUAAUAAUAUUAAAAUGAUAACAAUAAUAAAUAAUAACUAAUACUAUAAUGCAAUAAUAAAAAAAACAAAUUUAAAAUAAAAAAAACCCGCAAAUCACAGAUUGAGGACUAAAAUGAAGAAAAAUGGAAUUUAA